rnacentral:rRNA from 1 species
CCUACGGGUGGCAGCAGUGGGGGAUAUUGCACAAUGGGGGAAACCCUGAUGCAGCGACGCCGCGUGAGUGAAGAAGUAUUUCGGCAUGUAAAGCUCUAUCAGCAGGGAAGAACAUGACAGUACCUGACCAAGAAGCCCCGGCUAACUACGUGACAGCAGCCGCGGUAAUACGUAGGGGGCAAGCGUUAUCCGGAUUUACUGGGUGUAAAGGGAGCGUAGACGGUUAUGUAAGUCUGGAGUGAAAGCCCGGGGCCCAACCCCGGGACUGCUUUGGAAACUGUGUAACUGGAGUGCAGGAGGGGCAGGCGGAAUUCCUGGUGUAGCGGUGAAAUGCGUAGAUAUCAGGAGGAACACCGGCGGCGAAGGCGGCCUGCUGGACUGAAACUGACGUUGAGGCUCGAAAGCGUGGGGAGCAAACAGGAUUAGAUACCCCAGUAGUC